GUUGUGAAGUGCAUUAACAAAAAGCUUUGUCCUUUCUUUACAACAAAACGCAAUUCACCACUUGGCUGUCUAUUAUAUCACCCUGUCACAGGCCCUCCCAGUCAUCACCACCACAUAAGAUUGCCUGCUGCAGUUUGCAGCCAAACAUGCAGCAUAGGGAAGACCAUCAAUGGGGCCCUCAUCAGCAUCAUGCAGACAUGCCCUCGCUGUAAGCAUUCCUGUGAAUGGAACGGUCAGCCACAUGUGGGCAAGAAUCCGGCAAGCAACCUUCAACAGCAACAGAUUUUUCAGGCUCCUUAUUUGUACAAAUACACAAGAUACAUGAGGUACAAAGAGACCUGGCACUCAACAAAUCCACAAUGAGAUGGACUGGAGAUGCUAUUGCCAGACUGCAGCCUCAGUCAAUUGAUGGGGAGACCAUAAUUGGCAAGGUUCAAUCUGACCUGUUCAAACUUCAACAUAGUACCGAUCCUAACUGCCAUUGGUAAUAAAACAGUGACUGUGUGCAUGUGUUCACAGAAACAUGUAUGGAACCAGCACAUGGAGACUUCCAAGUCCAGACUGACAGACAGCCUUGAUACUGAUGUCUCUGAAUGGAAAGACCUGGCGUUCAAAUUUUACUACACAAUUUUGAUUUGUACUGUCUUUUUUUAUUAGUGAAUUGAAUGGUAUCAGUCAAAUUGUAUUGUGCAUCAGGAUCAGGGAACUCCUGUUCUAUACGGGACACCACACAGGAAGGUAUGUCCACUCUGACAUGUUUGCCAAGGUAGCCCCAUUAUGACAUAACAUUGAAGGUUGUGCAAUAUUUAGACUUAAGGAUGCCACCCUUUAGAUAAAAUACAUAACGGUUCCGUAUUUCACUGAAAGAAUAAACGUUUUGUUUUCGAAAUGAUAGUGUCUGGAUUCGACCAUAUUAAUGACCAAA